CGUGAAAGUACCGGCUUCCGUACGAUCCACGAAGUUACGUAAUAUCGAGCCUGGUCAGUAUCUAGAUGGGUAACCGCUUGGGAAUACCAGAUGCUGAAA